AGGGACGCCCCCACAGGUAGACGAAGAGGGUCCAGAGAAAGGUGGGGAUUCCCUAACCCCUUCUUUCUUGGCACAGACAGGCAGAGAACACCUCUUUUCUCACCCCUGGGCAGCCCCAGGAAGUCAAUCCUUCCACUAUUCCUGCUCCGUGCCUCUCUUCCCUCUGCCCAGAUUCCUGGGAGACUCAAAACCCUGUUCAACUCUCUCUGGGCUAGCUGCUCCCCUCCCCAAGAGGAUUUCUCUCCAGAGCUGGUAUCAUCGCUUAAUGAUGUUCCACCAACAAGGGGAAGGUUUCUUUUCUGGGAGCUGCUAUCACUGAAUACAUAAAGAAAUUGAGCCUAUAUGAUUUCAAUCUUCACCUUCUGAUGCUGAUGAAACAGGAUUCUAUGCAGUUUUCCACAGGGAGAAGCAGCAGGCUGAAGUGGCUCUUUAGGGAGACACAUACCUCCACAGGAAGAGCAGUCUAGAUUGUUUUAGCACAUUCCACUUAAGGAUUGCAGUGUGACAGCAGAGAAAAUCCUCUCCAGUCAAGUAAUUGCAUCCAUUUCAUCUUCCCAGCCCUCCUCUAGAUGGGAGGUGGAGGACAGUGGGGACCCCAGCCAGAGCCUGGGGACUUGGCUGCCUUGGAACCAGAACCUGGCCCCUCAGAGGAGUUGCAGAAUUUCGAUAGAGGAGUGGCAGGAGGUGUACUGGCUGAAGAGGAGGCCCAAGGAACUCCUUUUCAUACAUCAAAACUGAGCUUAUCACCUCUACCCUGAAGUCAUCCUGGACAUCACUGGUCCCAGUUAAUCACUCACUUAUCUUUGCCAUCCUUGACCUGGGAAGAGAACGUUGCCCUCAUUGGUCUGGAAUCAGCAGGUACCUCAUGGCUGGAGGUGUAUUUUCAGACUCCUUUGGCAUCUGGUGAGGCCUGUGGAUUCAUUCUCAGAAUCACAUUUUUAAAUGCACAUAAUAAAAUACAUAGAAUUGCAAAGGAAGUUAAUUAUAUUGAAAUACAGUUAUCAAAAAUAUAAAUAAAACAAGUAUGUGGUACAGUCAUAUGUGUGCUUCUUUAUUAAGUCAUUACAAAGCAAGAUCUAUUUGGAGGUCUAAUAACUGUCAUAUGCUUGAAAAAAUCCUUAACAAUCAUAAUAUAUUAAAAAAUCUGAUUUCUACUUUGGCAAAUCAUAGAUAUUGCUGAAACUGUGGUUUAUUGCCUGCAUUCAUAAUUGAAGGAAAUGCUAGAGUUCAGUGAGAAGGUUGUGAAAAUAAAGAGAGCCUUUUUUUCUCAUCAAG
rnacentral:lncRNA from 1 species